rnacentral:rRNA from 1 species
UACGUAGGUGGCAAGCGUUGUCCGGAUUUACUGGGCGUAAAGGAUGCGUAGGCGGACAUUUAAGUCAGAUGUGAAAUACCCGAGCUUAACUUGGGCGCUGCAUUUGAAACUGGGUGUCUAGAGUGCAGGAGAGGUAAGUGGAAUUCCUAGUGUAGCGGUGAAAUGCGUAGAGAUUAGGAAGAACACCAGUGGCGAAGGCGACUUACUGGACUGUAACUGACACUGAGGCAUGAAAGCGUGGGGAGCAACAGG